ACGGGUGAGUAACGCGUGGGAAUCUACCCAUCUCUACGGAAUAACGCAUGGAAACGUGUGCUAAUACCGUAUACGUCCUUCGGGAGAAAGAUUUAUCGGAGAUGGAUGAGCCCGCGUUGGAUUAACUAGUUGGUGGGGUAAAGGCCUACCAAGGCGACGAUCCAUAGCUGGUCUGAGAGGAUGAUCAGCCACACUGGGACUGAGACACGGCCCAGACUCCUACGGGAGGCAGCAGUGGGGAAUAUUGGACAAUGGGCGCAAGCCUGAUCCAGCCAUGCCGCGUGAGUGAUGAAGGCCCUAGGGUUGUAAAGCUCUUUCACCGGUGAAGAUAAUGACGGUAACCGGAGAAGAAGCCCCGGCUAACUUCGUGCCAGCAGCCGCGGUAAUACGAAGGGGGCUAGCGUUGUUCGGAUUUACUGGGCGUGAAGCGCACGUAGGCGGACUAUUAAGUCAGGGGUGAAAUCCCGGGGCUCAACCCCGGAACUGCCUUUGAUACUGGUAGUCUUGAGUUCGAGAGAGGUGAGUGGAAUUCCGAGUGUAGAGGUGAAAUUCGUAGA
rnacentral:rRNA from 1 species